rnacentral:rRNA from 1 species
GGCUCAGGAUGAACGCUAGCUACAGGCUUAACACAUGCAAGUCGAGGGGCAUCAGGAAGAAAGCUUGCUUUCUUUGCUGGCGACCGGCGCACGGGUGAGUAACACGUAUCCAACCUGCCCUUUACUCGGGGAUAGCCUUUCGAAAGUAAGAUUAAUACCCGAUAGCAUAAUGAUUCCGCAUGGUUUCAUUAUUAAAGGAUUCCGGUAAAGGAUGGGGAUGCGUUCCAUUAGGUUGUUGGUGAGGUAACGGCCCACCAAGCCUUCGAUGGAUAGGGGUUCUGAGAGGAAGGUCCCCCACAUUGGAACUGAGACACGGUCCAAACUCCUACGGGAGGCAGCAGUGAGGAAUAUUGGUCAAUGGGCGCUAGCCUGAACCAGCCAAGUAGCGUGAAGGAUGAAGGCUCUAUGGGUCGUAAACUUCUUUUAUAUAAGAAUAAAGUGCAGUAUGUAUACUGUUUUGUAUGUAUUAUAUGAAUAAGGAUCGGCUAACUCCGUGCCAGCAGCCGCGGUAAUACGGAGGAUCCGAGCGUUAUCCGGAUUUAUUGGGUUUAAAGGGAGCGUAGGUGGACUGGUAAGUCAGUUGUGAAAGUUUGCGGCUCAACCGUAAAAUUGCAGUUGAUACUGUCAGUCUUGAGUACAGUAGAGGUGGGCGGAAUUCGUGGUGUAGCGGUGAAAUGCUUAGAUAUCACGAAGAACUCCGAUUGCGAAGGCAGCUCACUGGACUGCAACUGACACUGAUGCUCGAAAGUGUGGGUAUCAAACGGGAUUAGAUACCCUGGUAGUCCACACAGUAAACGAUGAAUACUCGCUGUUUGCGAUAUACAGUAAGCGGCCAAGCGAAAGCAUUAAGUAUUCCACCUGGGGAGUACGCCGGCAACGGUGAAACUCAAAGGAAUUGACGGGGGCCCGCACAAGCGGAGGAACAUGUGGUUUAAUUCGAUGAUACGCGAGGAACCUUACCCGGGCUUAAAUUGCAGUGGAAUGAUGUGGAAACAUGUCAGUGAGCAAUCACCGCUGUGAAGGUGCUGCAUGGUUGUCGUCAGCUCGUGCCGUGAGGUGUCGGCUUAAGUGCCAUAACGAGCGCAACCCUUAUCUUCAGUUACUAACAGGUUAUGCUGAGGACUCUGGAGAGACUGCCGUCGUAAGAUGUGAGGAAGGUGGGGAUGACGUCAAAUCAGCACGGCCCUUACGUCCGGGGCUACACACGUGUUACAAUGGGGGGUACAGAAGGCAGCUACCUGGUGACAGGGUGCUAAUCCCAAAAGCCUCUCUCAGUUCGGAUCGAAGUCUGCAACCCGACUUCGUGAAGCUGGAUUCGCUAGUAAUCGCGCAUCAGCCACGGCGCGGUGAAUACGUUCCCGGGCCUUGUACACACCGCCCGUCAAGCCAUGGGAGCCGGGGGUACCUGAAGUACGUAACCGCAAGGAUCGUCCUAGGGUAA